UACGUAGGGUCCAAGCGUUAUCCGGAUUUACUGGGUGUAAAGGGCGAGUAGACGGCAUAGCAAGUCAGAUGUGAAAACUUAGAGCUCAACUUUAAGCGUGCAUCUGAAACUGUUAAGCUAGAGUGCAGAAGAGGUAAGUGGAAUUCCUAGUGUAGCGGUGAAAUGCGUAGAUAUUAGGAGGAACACCAGUGGCGAAGGCGACUUACUGGGCUGUAACUGACGUUGAGGAGCGAAAGUGUGGGGAGCAAACAGG
rnacentral:rRNA from 1 species